AGCCUGGCAGCCUCACCAUGGCCUGGACCCUCCUGCUCCCCCUCCUCACACUCUGCACAGGUCCUGUGGCCUCUUCAGAACUGACUCAGCCCACAGAAGUGUCUGUGGCCCUGGGACAGAUGGCCAGGAUCACCUGCAAGGAAAAUCUCAAAACAAAAUAUUAUCCUGUAUGGCUCCAGCAGAAGCCCAGCCAGGCCCCCAUGCUGGUCAUCUAUGGUGACACAAACAGGACCUCAAAGAUCCCUGAGCGAUUCUCUACUUCAUGGUCAGUGGACACGGACACCCUGAUCAUCAGCGGGGCCCAGGCCCAGGACGAGGCCGACUAUUAUUGUGCGGUGUGGGAGAAGAAUGCUAAAGCUCACAGUGACACAGGCAGAUGGGGAAGUGGGACAGAAACCUCCCUGUGUCACCCUCUCCUCCAGCCCCGAGGGCUGCAGACCAAGCCCUGAGCACGGCUGCCCGUCUGUGUCGAGCGAGAGCAGGGGCAGCUUCGGGCACCUGUGGACGAUCCCACCUGGAGCCCUGU